AAUUUUUUCAUAUUCGUCCUUUUUUUAAAUUUGAUUUUACCAAUUAUUGACUCUAAUAUUCUAUUUAUUAAUAAUUUUAAAUUUAUCUGAUAUCUGCUACAUUCACACUUAUCUUGUAAUUUACAAUAAAAUAGAUUUGAUUUAUUGCAAUAAUAGAAGUGACAAAAACUGGGUUAAUAAUUAAGAAAAAUGGUCGGCACAUGUUUUUCAAUGUGUUCAGGAAAAGAAUGACGUCUAAGAGAACGAGAAGGUUUAUUACGCAUUUCAGAGAUCGAUGGAAAACCUAAAAAUCAAAGGCACAAAAAAGCUGAUUUCACUAAAAUAAUGAAAUGUUUUCAAAGAUCCAGUGUAGAGUUUCACUCCAAAAAGGCAUACGCUGGAGCUUAAUUUAUGAAUUAACAUUCAACAGGAUCCGGGCAAUAAAACAAGACAUGAUCAUAUAGAGAUUAGAUUCAACCAAAAGCAUUAAAAUUUUAGAACCAGUUUUUAAAUUUCAUAUUUAUGCUGCUGAAAGAAUACGGAAGAGACCUUUAAGGAAUUUUGUUCACAAAUUAAAUGAUCAGCAUUUACUGGAAUUAAACGAUUAGUCGUCCUGUACGACGAUAUCAAUUAUGCCAGCGCUGACGUUCACGAGGAAAAGAAACCAACGAAUUAAUUGGAAAAAAAAAAAAAAA